rnacentral:sRNA from 23 species
AUAUCUCUCUGUACGGGAAGGAUGAGAAGCUUCGACUAAGGUUCGAUUCGAGCGAAAGCGAGAAAGCGUUGCCAACGGCAACGACCCGAAGGGCGAAGCGCGCAGCGCUGAGUAAUCCUUCCCCCGUCAUCC